UAAAACUGCCUAUGUAAAGUGUUGUAUUGC
rnacentral:piRNA from 1 species